GAGAAAGACCGGUUGACCCAUUCUACGUCCCGGCACCUUGGAAAUGUUAUGUUAUGAUAUGUUUAAGAGAAAGACCGGUUGACCCAUUCUACGUCCCGGCACUUUGGAAUGUAGAGGACUAUUGGUGACAAUACCAUCCGUGAUGUGAUUUGUCUGUGAUGUGUUGCAUUCCAUUAUGGCAUAUGAUUUAAAUGUUUUUAUUAUUCUACUCACUGGGC
rnacentral:lncRNA from 1 species